rnacentral:rRNA from 1 species
AUUCCGGUUGAUCCUGCCGGAGGCCAUUGCUAUCGGAGUCCGAUUUAGCCAUGCUAGUUGUGCGGGUUUAGACCCGCAGCGGAAAGCUCAGUAACACGUGGCCAAGCUACCCUGUGGACGGGAAUACUCUCGGGAAACUGAGGCUAAUCCCCGAUCCCGCUUUGCUCCUGGAAGGGGCAAAGCCGGAAACGCUCCGGCGCCACAGGAUGCGGCUGCGGUCGAUUAGGUAGACGGUGGGGUAACGGCCCACCGUGCCCAUAAUCGGUACGGGCCGUGAGAGCAAGAGCCCGGAGACGGAAUCUGAGACAAGAUUCCGGGCCCUACGGGGCGCAGCAGGCGCGCCACCUUUACACUGUACGAAAGUGCGAUAAGGGGACUCCGAGUGUGAAGGCAUAGAGCCUUCACCCUUGUACACCGUAAGGUGGUGCACGAACCAGGACUGGGCAACCCCGGUGCCAGCCGCCGCGGUAAUACCGGCAGUCCGAGUGAUGGCCGCCCUCCUUGGGCCUAAAGCGUCCGUCCCUGGCUGAACAAGUCCGUUGGGACCUCUGUCCGCUCCACGGGCAGGCGUCCCCCGGCCACCCUUCAGCCCGGGACCGGCCGACCUGAGGGGUACGUCUGGGGUAGGAGUGAAAUCCUGUACCCCUGGACGGACCGCCGGUGGCGAAAGCGCCUCAGGCCAACGGAUCCGACAGUGAGGGACGAAAGCUAGGGUCUCGCCCCGGAUUAGACCCCCGGGUAGUCCUAGCUGCCAACGAUGUCCGCUAGGUGUGGCGCAGGCUACGAGCCUGCGCUGUGCCGUAGGGAAGCCGAGAAGCGGACCGCCUGGGAAGCCCGUCUGCAAGGACCAAACUUAAAGGACCUGGCGGGGGAGCACUACAACCGGAGGAGCCUGCGGUUUAAUUGGACUCAACGCCGGACAUCUCACCAGCCCCGACAGUAGUAAUGACGGUCAGGUUGAUGACCUUACCCGAGGCUACUGAGAGGAGGUGCAUGGCCGCCGUCAGCUCGUACCGUGAGGCGUCCUGUUAAGUCAGGCAACGAGCGAGACCCGCACUCCUAAUUGCCAGCAGUACCCUUUGGGUAGCUGGGUACAUUAGGUGGACUGCCGCUGCCAAAGCGGAGGAAGGAACGGGCAACGGUAGGUCAGUAUGCCCCGAAUGGGCUGGGCAACACGCGGGCUACAAUGGUCGAGACAAUGGGAAGCCACUCCGAGAGGAGGCGCUAAUCUCCUAAACUCGAUCGUAGUUCGGAUUGAGGGCUGAAACUCGCCCUCAUGAAGCUGGAUUCGGUAGUAAUCGCGUGUCAGCAGCGCGCGGUGAAUACGUCCCUGCUCCUUGCACACACCGCCCGUCAAAUCACCCGAGUGGGGUUCGGAUGAGGCCGGCAUGCGCUGGUCAAAUCUGGGCUCCGCAAGGGGGAUUAAGUCGUAACAAGGUAGCCGUAGGGGAAUCUGCGGCUGGAUCACCUCCU